rnacentral:rRNA from 1 species
GACAGAGGGUGCAAGCGUUGUUCGGAAUCAUUGGGCGUAAAGGGCGCGUAGGCUGUUUCGUGUGUCGAGUGUGAAAUACCUGGGCUUAACCGAGGAAGUGCAUUCGAAACUGCGAAGCUAGAGUCCCAAAGAGGUUGGUGGAAUUCCCAGUGUAGAGGUGAAAUUCGUAGAUAUCAAGCGGAACACCGGUGGCGAAGGCGGCCUUCUGGACAGUGACUGACGCUGAGACGCGAAAGCGUGGGGAGCAAACAGG